rnacentral:lncRNA from 1 species
CACACUUUUGGGAUUAAAGUGAUAAGUUCAGAUAGAAAGACAGGUUGACGCCACAAGGGUUACUUGAUAAGUCAGACGAGUCUUUGGAGAACAAUGAGAGUUGAAAACAAACUCACAAAGUAAUCAGAUUUCAUAUAAAGUUUAAAAGUAUAUUGUCUAACCCCCAAAAUGAUUACAAAACAACUAUUUAUAAUAUAAAUUCCUAAGUAGUCGAAUGGCUAAUAAGAUGCUGAAUGGUCAGCCAAAAUUAAAAACAAAAGAGGCUGGAAAUUUCCAGCAACCUUCCUAGGACAUUUUUGGGAAGCUUCAUGCAUGAAGAAUUCAAUUGGGCAGCUUCUAGAUGGAGUCCAUUCAGCUGGACAUUAAUGGAAGUAUUGGUGAGCUGAAUAAGAGGUCUUGGUUCGGCCAAUGAAGUUGAAUGCACCUUAAUGAAGCCUCCUUGUGAGCUGAACAGCUUGCCCAUUUUUAAUGACGUUUUGGGGAUCUCCAACAGCCCAUGGUGUGAACAUCAAAUAGGAACAGCCUUGUGUGUGUGAACUCAUGAAACUGAAUGGCCAAAAGAUAGCAAAAAUUUAUUUAUCAGCUGGGGCGUCCUCCAAGGUAAUUAAAGAGCUGAAUUGAGCUGCUUUGGAAAGUGAAAAGAAACUCCCAAAAAGGCCCUUGCUGUUCAUGAGGGAAUGCAUGGAGGAGAGCAAUCAGCAGUAAUUAAAUGCCGUCCAUGCCCAAAUUCCUGCACCAAAUUAAAACAGCCUUUAAUUCUUGUUUUAAGACAAAAACAAAUACAUGCAAUAUGGCCCAUAAAUUCGGCAGUAGCUUCUUUAAUGAAUUCCAACAUGCUUUCUUCAACAUCUCAUUGAAUGCUUGUCUUUGCUGCACAUUAAAUUCGGCAAGCAUGCACCCAUUAAAUCUGUCCAUUAAAUGGCCACAUGAAAAAGCACCAGCAGCUCCUUUAAUGCCGUCCAAGGAAGGAGGUACCAACAUGUUAAUUCAGCAAAUUAAAUCCAUUGUGGGCACAUUAAAUUCGACAGCAAAGAAUUAAACCUUCUUUAAUUUUUGUCCCCAUUUCCAUGCACCUGUACACAUUUAAAUUAGCCAUUAACUCAAGUUUAAGACAAAAUAAAAUUUGGUCAACAAGGCAUAUUAAAUUCGUCAACCACACAAGGACACAUUAAUUCUGCUCAUAAAUUCGGCUGACUUAAACAUGAUAAAUCAGCAGCCAAGACACAACAAAUAGCUGUAAUAAAAAAUACACAUUAAUUCGUCAAUUAAAUUGUCUUAGGCUGGAACAUAUUAAAUGAUGUAAUGAGCUAACUAAGACAUAUUAAAUUGCUGUACUAAAUAAAACACAAUCAAUUAAACUCAAGAAAUAUUAAAGAUGUUCAGAUUUAAACUAAUUAAUUUACUAAAACUUAUUUGAGCUAAAUUAAAUAACUAAAUUAACUUAUUCAAUUUAUUCAAUUUAUUCCAGCAAAUGAGUUUGUAAAAUUAAAAUAAACUCAAUAUGAGCAAAACGAUCCCAUUGAACUGGAAACGAACUAAACAGAGCUCAGUGAGAUGCAAUUGAGCUAAUUUAGCUCGCAUGGGUGUGCAAGAAAUACUUAUGGAGCUGAUCGAAAAAUGUGCCCGGGGCGUGGUCGUAUCAUCCCCUCCCUCUUUAAGGCGAUUUGUCCUCAAAUCGGGCCACUUGCUCAAGAAAAAUUUUUCAAGAUCUCGAACCCUUUUGUUCAUGAUCCGAAUAGAAUCAUUUCUAAAACUUUGAAAAUCACAAAUGGUUCGAUAAGAAAUUGAAUUAUUUCCACGCCCUUCCUCUUUAAGAGGGAAACAAUUUAGAGUGUCACCUACAC